AUGCUCCUGGAACUGCAAAUCUCUCAGGAGGAGGCAGGAGGGGGUUCCAAUGCUGCGCAUAGAGAGGUCGGCUCAGUCCUCCCGCAAACAGCUGAGGAAUGGCAAAACUUGCUUCCAGAGCCGAUAAAAGCAUCCUCAAGGGAGCUGAUGGCUAAUAGGGUUGCUUCCAAAAGGAAACUCUUUCACCCAGAUGAUUGCAAACUAAAUCAAACAGAACUCCACAAGCACACUGCAUUUUCGAAGGUAACUGUGCUCAGAUGGAGGCUGAUCGGAAUGCUGUGGGAUACAGGAUUCAGAGGGAGAAAGACUUGAUUGAUUAGCAAUGCUGACUGUGGCUGCAACAGUAGAGAAUACAGGAAAUCAACAUCCCUAUUUUAGAUGUUGGUGCUGAAGAUACAUAGAAGAAAGCAUGAAUGCCCCCUGAUCUGACAAAGCAUACCGCUUAAAGGAGGAGAAACUUGUCACACAAUUUGUAAAAGGUCUAUGAUACGCAAAGGACUCAUGAGACUAUAGCCUUCCUAAAUUGGGCUGUGAAAGGAGGUCACUUUGACAAUAUUCGCAGUCUAUUUUGGAGGACAAAUGCAGUUAACUAGGUGAAGAAGGAGGAGGAUAAACUAUUCCAAGAGCACAGGUGGAAGAGGCAUAAAGUGCAGAAGAGCUCAUAGUGUGAAAAAGCAAAGGCAGGUGUUUUUUAUGACUCUAGAAAGUGGUGGACAGAAAUGGCUGGAGAUGAGGCUGGAGACUUAGGCAAAUGUCAGAUAAUGAAGAACAUUGAUGUUUACCCCAUGUGUUUGAACUUUAUCCUGCAGGUCCAGAGGAGCUGUUAUUUCAAACUGUGAAAUUUCUAAUGACUCGAGAAGGGCAAAAGUCAGCCAUCAAGAGGACGAUGAGGCAGUGGAAGACUGAGUAAUUCACAGCAAAUAUAUUCAACACCUGAAUAAUGUAGAGUGGCUACGUGUAAAGGCAAGGGAAGGAAAAGGAAUUAUUUAUAACAACCAUACCUUUGAAUGGAUUUAUUUUAGGUAUCUCUGGUACUAUCCUCUGGAGAUCAGCGGACAGUGUGGAGUUCUCAGAGAUUAGGGGACAUAACUCUUACUAGGGUCAAGAGGCAUGGUAGCCGACUGUGGAUUUCUGUAUUUUGCCCAGCCUCCGACAUAACUGAAACGCAAACCCUCUGGACUUAUGACCCAAGGUCUAUUCUGCAACCAGAAACAUUGUUAAAAUUCCCAGAGUCUAUUUGUUCUAUAAAAGAAAUUUACCACUUUAAAAGUCUGAAAGAACUCAGAAAGGAAAACAGCUGAGUCCUGAAAUAUGGUAUAGGUACCCUUCUCUGCUUUUUCUAUAAACGCUGUUAUCAUUUAUAACUCCAUGUUGUAAACGUCUGUUGGAAUGUAGUUCAACGCCAAUACAUUGCUGGGCUGUAUUUGUUUUUGGUUUUCUCUGAAAACUUUUGGCUAACAUCCUAGUUUGGUUUGAGGAAAAGCGUAAUAGUUAGAUUAAGAAGGAAAGUAAGGUAUACUUCACUCUAUCCAGACCUGUCAGUGUGUACAACUUAAUCCAUGUUCACUCAAUGUUUGCUGAGGUAGGGGUAAGAAGUUGGGUGAAAAUGGAUGGCUACACCUACUGGAAAAAUUAAGGGAGAGAAUUAAAAACAAAAAAGAAAACAAUGGCAUUAAAGGGAUUCAGAAUCAAA